UUUCGCGAUUGUAUGCCCUCUCAGACGCCAGGUUCGAGCGGGUUUAAGUGGGCCUGCGGCGGGCGGUCCCCGCGAGGGGGCCGGGCCGCCGAGGCAACAGGGGGUCGGUACGCGUUGGAUGGGAGGUCCGGGCGCCCCGAGGGACGCCCGUGAGCUCGGUAAUGAUCCCUCCGCAGGUUCACCUACGGAGA
rnacentral:misc_RNA from 1 species